AUGGAGCCUAUCAAACCCACGGCCACCCUAACAGGCAAGAUCCGCGAAUCUGCCGACGACGGAGAUGCGGCGAGCGGAACUAUCGGCAGCCUCCCGUUCCACCUCACGGAGAAGAUCCUCGGCUGCAUCAGCCCGCUCGAGUCGGUGCGGUUCGCCGCCGUCUGCAGGUCCUGGGCGGAGAUCAUCUCCGAGCGGCUAGCGAGACCCACCCCGCACCUGUUCGCGCUCGAGGUCCUCGACGAGGGCCUCCGCGGGGCGAUCUUCUCCAUUCCGAUCGAUGACGGCGGGGAGGACUCGCCCGCGCCGGUGGUCCCGGCCCGGCUGCCGAGCACUGUCAGCGACGCGAAACAUUUUGAGCUAUGUGGCGUCCUGCCCAGCGGCAGAAUCUCCUUUGCGUACAAGAGCAGCCUCGUCCUCGUCAAUCCCGCCACCGGCGCGGUCCGGGGCAUUCAGACGUACGCCCAUCGGAUCAUGUAUCCGACUGAACCUAUGUUUUGCAGCGGCGCCGAGGCCUUCUUCAUUGGCCAGAGUUUCGGGAGGAACUUCUCUCUCUGGUGGUGCACGGAGGGGGAGUGGUCCGAGCGGAAGCUGCUCCUGCCUGAAGACCUCAAAUGUGCCGACGACAUUGAUCUAGUGGCCUACAGCGACGGCGUCUUCUAUGCCAUGCAAAUUUUCGGCUCAACGUACACCAUUGACACUCGUGCGCCGAUGCCGUGGCGCCUGACAAGGCUCAGUGUGCCGAGCAUUCGCGAGCAGCUCGGAGACCGCUUCAUCCGGAACUUCCACCUGCUCGAGUCGGAAGGGGAAGUCAUGUUUGUCGUUCGGGUGCUCGCAACACAAGAACCCGCAUACUCCAAUUCCUUCGGUGGCUAUGAGGUGUAUAGGCUAGAUGUCGAGGGGGCGCGAUGGGUGAAAGUGGAGAGGCUUGCUGGUGAAGGCUGGCGCCGGCCCCAACACCUUCAUGGUAUCGAGUAUUUUCAGAGGAUCGUCCCUCUCCUGUGGUGCGAGGAGGAUGAGUUGGUCGAGCAAAAGCUGUUCCUACCCAAAGAGUUUAGAGGUACCGAUGCCAUCGGCUUUGUGGCGUAUGCCAAUAGCAUCUUCUACGCAGUGGGCUUCUAUAGUGUCACGCACAUCAUCGACAUGCGUGUGCCACUGCCGCACUGCCUGACGAGACUCAGGGCGCCCAGCAUUCUCGACUCUCGAGCAGUACUCUCCGAUUUGUGGCUAUCGCUUCCUCCGCAACUGCCACCUGCUUGA
rnacentral:rRNA from 1 species